rnacentral:rRNA from 1 species
CCUACGGGUGGCAGCAGUGAGGAAUAUUGGUCAAUGGCCGAGAGUCUGAACCAGCCAAGUCGCGUGAGGGAAGACGGCCCUACGGGUUGUAAACCUCUUUUGUCGGGGAGCAAAGCGAGUCACGUGCGCCGCCUUGAGAGUACCCGAAGAAAAAGCAUCGGCUAACUCCGUGCCAGCAGCCGCGGUAAUUCGGAGGAUGCGAGCGUUAUCCGGAUUUCUUGGGUGUAAAGGGUGCGCGGUCGGAGGGGCAAGUCAGCGGUAAAAUUGCGGGGCUCAACCCCGUACUGCCGUUGAAACUGCAUCCCUUGAGUGCGCGAGGAGUAGGCGGAAUGCGUGGUGUAGCGGUGAAAUGCAUAGAUAUCACGCAGAACUCCGAUUGCGAAGGCAGCAUACCGGCGCGCAACUGACGCUCAUGCACGAAAGCGUGGGUAUCGAACAGGAUUAGAUACCCCGGUAGUC